UGUGAAUCCGGCGGCUGAGCCUCUGCCGCAGAGGAUGGAUCCAUUGGACGAAUCCAUCGCCCCUGUUAAUCUCUCGUGAAAAUACAAUCACGUCCGCUCUGCUGCUACCGUCGUCGCCACAUCCUGAGAGGACGGAUCCAUCGGCCCCAAGUGACGCGGAGAGGAAGGAAGCCCUAGGCCGGAUGCUCAUGGCUCUGGCCAUCGCCAAGCUCCCGUACACCAAAGGCCGGGCUGCCGAAUCGUUGGGUGCCUGGCACUAACGACGGUCGAAGUCGGUCCAGCACCCCGAUAGGACGAGACGGUGACACCAUACAAGGGGGGCUUAUGGUGGUAGCGUUCGCUUGCCGAUCUAUGACUAGCGCAAUGCGCUGUCCGGAGGCAGCACAACUGCGCAAGGAAGGAGGAUGGGGGUUCAAGGUUCUGGACAGGUGGCAGGGGCAACAUGCGGCAGGAGUGUGAUAAAAGUCAUUGACAUCUCUGCCACCAAGGUUCGUUAGACAAAAAAGGGCCUCUCCAUCGGCCCCAAGUGACGCGGAGAGGAAGGAAGCCCUAGGCCGGAUGCUCAUGGCUCUGGCCAUCGCCAAGCUCCCGUACACCAAAGGCCGGGCUGCCGAAUCAUUGGGUGCCUGGCACUGACGACGGUCGAAGUCGGUCCAGCACCCCGAUAAGACGAGACGGUGACACCAUACAGGGGGGCUUAUGGUGGUAGCGUUCGCUUGCCGAUCUACGACUAGCGCAAUGCGCUGUCCGGAGGCAGCACAACUGCGCAAGGAAGGAGGAUGGGGGUUCAAGGUUCUGGACAGGCGGCAGGGGCAACAUGCGGCAGGAAAUAAUUGGACAUAUAACUAUUAAUGUAUGAACAAACAACAUCUUCAAUCAGGAUCAUCAAGCCCUCUGUUCUUUAUCUGAACAACAGACAUUGUAAUUGUUCCAUCCAUUACCUCUGAAACUCAGGAGUGUGAUAAAAGUCAUUGACAUCUCUGCCACCAAGGUUCGUUAGACAAAAAAGGGCCUCUGGUUAUGUAUCACACAAUGCAAUGCACAUGCAAAUAUGAUGAAUCAUGAGUUGAUUCAGAACUUCUAAAUGAAGCACAAUAGGAAUUGACAUGCUCUAAUGCUAACUAUUGACCAUUCUUCUCAGGUCAGUUCAUGUCUAAUACUGUAUCUUAUUUUUGCUCCCUAUUCAUCUGUCAUCUCUGCAUGAAACUUUAAUGCAGUUUUUAAUCCUAUGUUUACGGGUCGCUAGAUUCUAUAGACCUACCAUAUUAUCUUUUCGAGAUAACAGAUCAACCAUCAUAAUGGGCUUCUGUUGUAACAUCUCCCAUCUUUUGUGUUGUUAUCUAAAAGCGGUAUAGAUUGGAGAAAUUCAUGCUAAGUAUUGAUCUAGAGGUUGGGUCUUUGAGCCACUAAACUUAAUUGUAAAACUGGGAUUAAACUUAUUAUUUCUAAGCUCCCUGUUACAGAAAGAAGAAUCAAGAUCAUUAAUUAUAUGUUGGAUAAGAUUGUUGAUAUUGUAUUCUGUGGUCCUUUUCUUUUGUCAGAUUAUCUUAUGCAGACUUCCAUGGUACACAGAUUGCCAUUGCCUAGCGUCAACUACUCACUACUGCUACUACUUAGAUACUGAUUUGUCAGCUUUCCCUUUUAUGAUACAUGUUUCAUUAUACUAACUAAUAAUUAUAGAUGAAUUGUAAUGGUAAAGGGAAUAAGUUUGUCUAUUUUAAAUGGCUUGUGUUCUGUAUGGAUUAAUAGGCACUUGGCGCAAGCAGAGCACGCACAAACGUCCUUCUGAUUUUCUUAAUUAGGCCUCACAAGUAGCAGGCAGCAGUUACAAUCGAUGGUGGUAGCAUCAGUAUCAACUACCAAGUACGUUUAAUCACAGUUACUCAUAAGCUUAAUAUUUUGUAUUGUGAUGCAAGUUGAAGUACUCUGCAAUCUGCACGGGGAUGCCCACAAUCACAAUAAAUUAUUAAUAUCUCACAAAUUUGCAGAUUUUACUUCAAAUACUUGUAGGAUUGAUUUCACAGAAUUUGCCGCACACGCGGCCAAAACACGCCAAGAUUGCACCUUUAGUACCAUAAUUAUCAAGUGCAGUUAAUCUCAGUUACCCGGAUGCUUAAUAUGUUGUAAUAGUGAUGCGGAUCGAAGGAGGUCAUCGCUAUGAACAUUGGAAACAUGGUUGUGAUUGAGGACAACGAGCCCAUGACAAGACGGCUCACGCUCACCACCAUUAGAGAUGAGGAAACUGUAGUUCUGCAGACUGCUUUGCUAUCGCAGCAGUUGCUGCUGCAGUGCAAGCUAUGGCUUAACAGAGGAAGUAAUGGAGAUUCAUUCAGAGAGAUUUUUUUGAGGAUAUUCAGAGAGAAAUAUUGCUGCCUUGGGGUGCUGUUGCUGCUUGUUCAGUACUACUAUAUACUCCCUCCGUUCCCAAAUAUUUGUCUUUUUAAAGAUUUCAACAAGUGACUACAUACGAAAUAAAAUGAGUGAAUCUACACUCUAAAAUAUGUCUACAUACAUUCAUAUGUUGUAACCAUUUGAAAUGUCUAGAAAGACAAGUAUUUAGGAACGGAGGGAGUAUUACUGUUGUGUGCUAGAUGUUGAGGAGAGACAGUGAGACUUACUGAGUUACGUUGUGACUGAUUCAAUUAGUUUCACUGAUUUCUCCACAGAUGAGGUGAGCGCCUGUAGUUCAUUUCUCCCUUCUUUUGGUUCUCACUGUAGUUGACUCUUUUGAUUUGCUUAUUCUAUGUAUUUCAGUUGUAAAGAAGUUCAGUUGUUGUUCAAGAAAAUCAAAGAAGUUAGGGAUGACCAACCAUCAUCUAUCAGAAGCUUAUUAGGUAGGUUUAUUUUGUUGCUCCAAACUGUGGCUCAGUUCGCACGUGCUUUAUAUGGUUUAGUUCUGCAGUCCCUAUGAGCUCAGCUGUAGUUGUGGUUUGCCCCUGUCGGUAAGCUGUCCGACCGAGUCAUGGGCCAGACAAUACCCGAGUGGCCUUCUUGCUCCUGUGCAUGGCCUGGGUGGACCUCUCUCUACCUAUCGGAGUUAUGGGCCAAAUGACACGCGGGUGGGCUCCCUGCAAAGAGUUGAUAAAUAUAGGUGCGCUUUGACCUUUUCGAGUUUGUGAGGCGUCAUUUUCAGUGCAACCUAAAAACAACUACUAUGGAUAAAUCUUUGAGAAUAUAUCGCCUCCCGCUCACUAUAUAUAUCAAGAGAAAAAUAACUUGAGCGUGUAUGUGUAGCAGUAGUGAGUAGUUGACGCUAGGGAUACCACUGUUCCUCUAACCAUCUAACCACAGGUACACAGAUACACUGCAAAUCUAAUUAAUACGUGUACUCACGUAAAGUAUUAACAUGUUUUAAAUUUUUUGGGGACAUUUAAAAUGUGUUUUGCCUUCGAAAAAUGCUAUAUAAUUUUCAAAAAGUGUCUGUACAUCUUAAAAUGUUUGUUCAGUUUUAAGAAAGUGUUACCGUAUAUUUAUAUAGCGUUCAUAUAAUU